AGUGAUGCAGCCUAGUGGUAGAGCUCUUGCCUAGUAUGUGCAAGGGCCUGGUUUCAUUCCCCAGCACCACAA
rnacentral:tRNA from 1 species